AGCAAAUUUAUAGCCUAUAUAAAUUUAAGUUAAUGAGACAAGGUGUGAUGGUAAGAUGAGGAGGUAGAUAUGGUUUAUAUCAACCUAAUCUUUGACAGUUAGGUCAAAGGUCUUGACAGAUAGGUCAAAGAUCAUCUUCUGCCAGUUAGCACACAUUCACGUGAACAAACCGUGAAACACACUGUGAACCAAUUGAAAACCUUGUACGACUCUGUUCUGGGCUUUGACCAAUCAUAGGGCACAACACAGCCCAUCCUAAUUGGCACAUAACAUGCACGAGUUCAUGCAAAAUAACGUAAUUUACUCUGAGAUGUCGACAGAGUAACAUUAUCGAAAGAUUUUCAAAAUAUAACUCUACCGCGGGCAAGCGCUUUUUACUCUUCUGGUGGACAAAGGAAUAUGUUGGCUCAAGUACCGAUAUGUGAUUCAGUGAGACGUAGUUUAUUCAAACAUAACUCUGCCACGGCCCACGGGCAAGGACUUGUACUCGUCUGGUGGACAAAAGAAUACGUUGGCUCAAGUAUCGAUGUACGAUCCAGUGAGACGCAGUUUAUGCUGUUUAUCCAAUAUAACUCUACCGUGGUCAAGUGCUUUAACUCUUCUGGUGGCCUAAUGAAUACGUUGGCUCAAAUACCGAUGAUGUUAUUUCCAUUUAACGCUGGGGGAAUUAUAACAAGAUCGAGAGGCUACAUAAACACGAAAUAUUCAACUAGCGUACAUGCUUAAGUGAAACGGAUAUAUUUGGUGCGUAUAUUUAAAAGUUGCGGCGAAUUCACACGUCUGUUUCGUAUUAAUUUACGCUUUUCAAACCAACCAAAAUGCUUUAACUUCGUCUAUUUUAUCACAGAAUUUGGGUAUAUAUAGUAAUUGUCGAGCGCCAAAUGUAUCGACUAUUCACGCAAAUCGAUCUCAUCUGUAUUUCAAUGUUAAUUUUUUAAUAUUAAUAUCACCUUGAGGUUAUAUUGGGCCUCUGAUUUCGUAUUGCGCUUCCCAAACCAACCAAAAAUCUACUAAAUUCGUCUAUUUUAUAACGUCAUUUACAUUCUGGUGUAUUAUUUCUCGAUCAAAAAUUCCAAUGACAUAUUACCACCUUGAGGUUAGCCGCUGAUUAGACUUCAGAUUACGCCUCAGAUUCGGCGUUGGAUUGGGUUUUCAAUCAGGUCUUACGUUGAACUGUAUUCAAUCGUUCAAAAGUGGACUUAUAAACUUCUUUUUCAGAGCGCAUGUUAAUAGUUCACCUGCAUCUAAGGACGUAAACGAGCUUAUACUGCAUUCAGUUAUAAAAUUUGCAUAGCCAAAAAUCUCAAGUUUGAUUGGUUACAUAAAGGAUAUGUGCUAAUAAGGUGCAUAAUAGCGACCUAAGUGUAGAUUUUACUGUUAGGUACAGAUGAAGAUAAUUAUAUUAUUCAAUAUAUAGAGAGUAAUACAUGGGUUCGCGGAAAUAGCAGAUAAAGAUAUAUAAUUAUGUUGUUAUUAACUGAUCUUAAAAGUAUAGAUCAUUCCACUUUGAAGUAAUUACCGUACUACAAGAUUUAAAAGGACAUGUCACAAUUCGACGUACAUAAAAUUAAUGUUCAAACGUACGUUGUACCAGGACAAAAAAAUUCCAUUCGCUUUACACGUUGCAUGAAACAAAUUUGGUAGAAUUUGCAUGAAUAUAUGAACAGAACCGUCUACUAAAGAA